UACGUAGGGUGCAAGCGUUAAUCGGAAUUACUGGGCGUAAAGGGUGCGUAGGCGGCGCGGUAAGUCGGGUGUGAAAUCUCGGGGCUUAACUCCGAAACUGCAUUCGAUACUGCCGUGCUUGAGGACUGGAGAGGAGACUGGAAUUUACGGUGUAGCGGUGAAAUGCGUAGAUAUCGAGAGGAACACCAGUGGCGAAGGCGAGUCCCUGGACAAAACCUGACACUGAGGCACGAAAGCUAGGGGAGCAAACAGG
rnacentral:rRNA from 1 species